CAUAGAUGAUGAUGAGGGAGAUAUAUUUGAAGAGGAUGAGGGAUACCUGUUUGCUGGGCAUGAUGAGGAAGAUGAUGACGAUGUCCAAGACAAUGACCUUGAGGAAGAUACGGCGUCUAUCCCUAAAGUACCUAACCAAUGUGACGAGGUGUAUAGUAACAUGCCUACUGAUACCCAUAUGCUAAAACCUAUCGCAAAUUGUGACCACUGCAAUGCGAAAAGGUUUGAGCAUGAAUCACCUGGGUUUUGUUGUCGCAGCGGGAAGAUCGAGCUCAAUGAACCGAAUGUACCUAA